rnacentral:sRNA from 1 species
AGAGGUGUGGGUACUGGGGUUCACUCCUUGCAGUUGAGUCAGAUGCUUCCAAAUGGGAUCCCACCUUUUGCCCAUCCCAUUCACCAGUGUAGUCUGAGGAUGAAGUCCCUUCCAAACCCAGGAGGUUCCAGCUGCUUGGGUGGGGGCACUUAGGGCAGGAAGACCUGGCUUGGUUUCCUCUUCCUUCUGCUUACUUCCACCCUCAUCACUGUCAUCUCUUCCCCUGGGGAAGCUGAAGUCUGAGCUGGACAUGCUGGUUGGCAAGUGCCGGGAGGAACCCUUGGAAGGUGAUAUGUCCAGCCCCAACUCCACAGGCAUACAGGAUCCCCUGUUGGGGAUGCUGGAUGGGCGGGAGGACCUUGAGAGAGAGGAGAAGCGUGAGCCUGAAUCUGUGUAUGAAACUGACUGCCGUUGGGAUGGCUGCAGCCAGGAAUUUGACUCCCAAGAGCAGCUGGUGCACGUGAGCCCCAGGGGGUAACAGGAAUGGCUAGCCGGAACCUUUAGGAGAUUCUGAGUGGGACAUGGUGGAAUCUGGCUGAGGGCAGGAGGUCAGAGGAGACUGAGGUUGAAUGCUCACUUGGGUAGGCAGAAGCUCAGAAGUUGUAGCUUUGCCUUAGGGAGCUGGAAGACCUGAGAUGUGAGAUAUGAUAUUGUUCCUGCCUCUUCCUCCUUGAGG